GUGUUGCCAAGAGUUUCCUUCAAGCACUUCACAUGGAGCAUUUUGUUUCCCAUGAGGGAAGUUCAUUGGGUCAAUGUGAAGUGUUUGGAGGAACUCCUGAUGCCAA
rnacentral:pre_miRNA from 1 species